rnacentral:rRNA from 1 species
GACGAACGCUGGCGGCGUGCUUGACACAUGCAAGUCGAACGGAAAGGCCUGCUUUCCCUUGUGGAUUGCGGGUACUCGAGUGGCGAACGGGUGAGUAACACGUGAGUGAUCUGCCCCCAACUUGGGUAUAAGCCUGGGAAACUGGGUCUAAUUCCCGAUAGGACUGCAGGGUGGUGCCUGUGGUGGAAAACGAUUUUCUAGUGGUUGGGGAUGAGCUCGCGGCCUAUCAGCUUGUUGGUGGGGUAAUGGUCUACCAAGGCGGCGACGGGUAGCCGGCCUGAGAGGGUGGACGGCCACAUUGGGACUGAGAUACGGCCCAGACUCCUACGGGAGGCAGCAGUGGGGAAUAUUACACAAUGGGCGGAAGCCUGAUGCAGCGACGCCGCGUGGGGGAUGACGGCCUUCGGGUUGUAAACUCCUUUCGACCGCGAGGAAGCCACCUGGUUGGAAGGGUGGUGACGGUAGUGGUAGAAGAAGCACCGGCUAACUACGUG